GCAAAGGGUCGAGCGCUAAAAAUACCUGCCAACUCUCCCGCACCCACGGGCACAUCACACGCACACACACCUGCAAGUGAGUCAGACUCACGGGGGCUUGAGCAGCGGACACAUGCGAGAAAAUGCCGGACUGUCCCACCAGAUGGUAACGAUGGGAGUCUUAAACUCGGCGGGAGUUAUCCUACAAUGCCUAGGCAGAGUCCCAAAAUGCAGGUGAAACCAUAAUCCCUACAAUUGGAGAAGCAGUUCCAUAGUUCGUCUGCACCAGUCAACCAGCAGAUAACUACA
ensembl:ncRNA lncRNA:CR43918 long non-coding RNA:CR43918